AUUAAGUAGAGUAAGCUAUACUCCAAAUGUUCCUGGAACGCGGUCCCAAUCCAGGCCCCAAGAGAUGAUUCUUGGAUCUCAUGCGAGAAAGAUUUUGGGGCAAGUCUGCAGAAUAAAGUGAAAGCAAGUUUAUUAGAAAGUAAACUGGUAAAGGCCGGGUGUGGUGG